GUUCCCAUACCACCCUGAGAUACACUGAGUCAAUACAAUUUCUAUGGUCCCUGAAUAGAAAGUUUUCAGGAUUGCUGGUGAGAUCCUAAAUUUUCUCAACUGUCGCAGAUGGUACAGUCUUUACCUGGCUUUAUUAACUUGUAUUUGAAUGUGGGUAGUCCAAGUCAGGUCCUCGGAGAUGUUUACACCAAGGUUGUAGAAAAGACCGGCUAUGUAAAGAGGCAUUAGUGCGCCCUUGUGACUUUAAGAGCUAUUGCGCUGAUGACUUUUGGCAUUUCCCUUUAACGAUCCCUUUAACAGUAUUAACAAGACGCAGUUCAGACAUUCUUCGCUGUUGUUCAUGCCGUUGUUGUUUUCUACUGAGUGCGUUCAUAUACAAAACCACUCAUAUUAAGCUACACUCCAAACUACUCUGUACAACUCUGGCAUACUCUCUGCUGCCUGUACUACAAUCGUUCACUCAACCAAAUUCAAGAACUGUAAAUCCUCUACAAGUCUGAAACCAUUAAAGUGUACUUCGUCUCUGA